UCCUUAUCUUCUUCUCCUAUAUCGGCCAAUUUUCUAGGAACUUCACCUGAUAAAACCAGGAUAGUUAUCAAAGACCUUUUGGAGCUAUAUUCACUGUAAUUGUUGUCUUGGUAUCUGAGAGAAUGCUAUCCUGAUAUCCCGUCUGUGGAUAUGGGGUGUCUUGGAUGGUAAAGAAGAACCAAGUAUGGGUUUGUCUGAUUGGGUGGCCUACUAGUCCUGCUAAUACAUAGGAAAAUGAUAGCUGGUGUGUACUUUGAAAUGACAACUUUGAGAUUCAAUCAUGUAACAUUCGUUUCAGCUGGUUGAAAUUUUCCUUUAGAGAAGUUCAUUGGAAUGGAAGUGGAUGGAAAUGAAAGUCUCACACAUAAUUUGCAGUGAAAGGAAAGAAAUGCCCUCUGCUGAAAACUCAUUGAUAUCAUUUGAAUAUGAUUAACCAUAUUUGUCUGUAUAUAUAAUAUUUGUUGCUUAGUGGCACUGGGUGAACACUUCAUUUAAAUUAAGGGAAAUUCGGUGCUCUACAAAUGAUUGAUUGAAGUAAUUGGUGUGGUGAUAGGUGCUGUCUCCAGUCUUCUUGCUGUUUCAGUAAAAUACUAUCUUAACCUUGAAGUUGGGAUAUUUGCAACAAUAAAUUUGGUGGUUGUGGAACCGAAUAUAGUAUGUUUGGUUAAACUUGAAGCCAUUGUGACGGUUGAACUUGUAGCAGCAAACAGAAUUGCUCAAACGCGAGACUUCUUUCUGGUUAAGAAUUUAAGAUGGAACAUGUAUAGGCUGCUGAAGGUUCUUGGAGCUUGGAUUGGUGGCUCUUUUACUGUCUCUUCUUCCGUUGGUUGCCUCAUCUUGUGCCCAAUUGCUCCUGUUUACUCUAUACCAUACAUGCAUCUCUAAUUUGUCUUUGUCCAAUAAAACAGGCUUCCACUGCACAUGUGGCAAGUCUGACAGUCCUAGAGUACCUAAUUCCGGAAAAGAAAGCACCUGCUAAAAAAAAAACAAAAUAGUAAAGAAAAAGAAAUAAAUAUAUAAAACAGAAACACCUGGUCUGAUGAGAAUUAGGAUCCUUCAGUUUUGUUCAUGUUCAGUCUCAUGUCUUGCUUGGUUAUUGCUUGGUAUGUGAGUAACUCUACUGAAAACUUCAGCUACAUCUGGAGUGGGAAUGAUUAGUGCAAUGUCAGUCUUCCGCCUUUUUUGUAUUGCCCUGUGCAGUUUGAUUCAUUGCUUCUCUCUGCCUCAUAGAAUGCUUGCCUCCAGUUCUGGGGAAAUGCAAGAUUUGAGGUUUUAGGGCAAUAUGAUGAGGUUAUAUAAGUUCUUCCUAAUGUAUCAUGACUUCAUAAGAACAAAACAAAAAAUAGUCUUUUACGUGGAAAUUCCCAA